GAAAUGCGAUAAGUAAUGUGAAUUGCAGAAUUCAGUGAAUCAUCGAAUCUUUGAACGCACAUUGCGCCCCUUGGUAUUCCGAGGGGCAUGCCUGUUCGAGCGUCAUUAUAACCCCUCAAGCUCAGCUUGGUGUUGGGGCCUGCUGCACUGGCAGCCCUUAAAAUCAGUGGCGGCGCCAUCUGGCUCUAAGCGUAGUAAUUCUUCUCGCUAUGGAACCCGGAUGGUACGCGCCAGAACCCCCAACUUUCUAUGGUUGACCUCGGAUCAGGUAGGGAUACCCGCUGAACUUAA
rnacentral:misc_RNA from 1 species